AUGGCGAAAUCAAAAACACAAGUGUCAGCUUAUGCUGGUGAGGACAUGGAGCAAGGUAAACCGCCACCCGGCUUACAUCUGGAUGUAGUAAAAGGAGACAAGCUAAUUGAGAAGCUGAUUAUUGAUGAGAAGAAGUAUUACUUAUUUGGGAGGAACCCUGAUCUGUGUGACUUUACCAUCGACCACCAGUCUUGCUCUCGGGUCCACGCAGCACUAAUGUACCACAAGCACCUGAAGAGAAUUUUCUUGAUAGACCUCAACAGCACACAUGGCACUUUCUUGGGUCACAUUCGGCUGGAACCUCACAAGCCUCAACAGAUUCCCAUCGAUUCUACGGUCUCAUUUGGCGCAUCCACGAGGGCAUACACUCUUCGAGAGAAGCCUCAGACAUUGCCAUCAGCUGUGAAAGGAGAUGAGAAGAUGGGCGGAGAGGACGACGAACUUAAGGGCCUGUUGGGACUUCCCGAAGAGGAACCCAAGCUAGAUAACCUGACAGAGUUCAACACUGCCCACAACAAGCAGAUUUCAACCCUCACUAUUGAGGAGGGAAGUCUGGACAUUCAGAGACCAAAGAGGAAGAGGAAGAACUCUAGGGUGACCUUCAGUGAGGAUGAUGAGAUCAUCAACCCAGAGGGUGUGGAUCCGUCUGUUGGGCAAUUCCGGAACAUGGUGCAGACUGCAGUCGUUCCAGUCAAGAAGAAGCGGAUGGAGGGCUCUAGCUCUCUGGGCCUGGAGGAGUCAGGGAGCAGGCGCAUGCAGAACUUUGCCUUCAGCGGAGGACCAUACGGGGGCCUGCCUCCCACACACAGUGAAACAGGCUCCCAGCCGCAUGGCAUUCAUGCGACAGCACUCAUUAGUGGCUUGCCCAUGCCAUACCCGAACCUCGCCCCUGAUGUGGACUUGACUCCUGUUGUGCCAUCAGCGGUGACCAUAAACCCCACACCAAACCCGGCAGUCUAUAACCCUAAAGCUGUAAAUGAACCUAAGAAGAAGAAAUAUGCGAAGGAGGCUUGGCCGGGCAAGAAGCCCACACCUUCCUUACUGAUUUGAUAUUUUGGUUAUGGAGAGGGUGGGGAGGGUUGGGGAGGGGUGGAGGGGUGACAAGGGGAGCUACUGAACUAGGGAGAAAACUUUCCAUGUGUGCAGUAUCGUCUUUCAGAAAGUCUCCUGAGGUCCUAACCAUGUAAUACUGAGUCUAAGGGUGGGGCUAAAGUUACCAGUAAAGACCUGAGUCAGAACACUUGAAGUGUAGAGAAAGGCUUCCCAGGCCCUUCUGAGCAGACUGUCCUGGUGCUGUCCCUGUGUCACCUACUAGGACCAUUUUUUUAUGUGAAGUAGCUCACGGGAGGAAUCUAGAGCUAUGGAGAGGGUGGGAGCCUCAUUAGUAUUCCC